GCUGGCGGCAUGCCUCAUACAUGCAAGUCGAACGAAAUCUUCGGAUUUAGUGGCGCACGGGUGAGUAACAUGUGGGAAUCUACCUAAAGGUUCGGAAUAACUGCGGGAAACUGUAGCUAAUACCGGAUGUGUCUGCAAAGAGAAAGAUUUAUCGCCUUUAGAUGAGCCCGCACUAGAUUAGCUAGUUGGUGAGGUAAUUGCUCCACCAAGGCUACGAUCUAUAGCUGAUUUGAGAGGAUGAUCAGCCACACUGGGACUGAGACACGGCCCAGACUCCUACGGGAGGCAGCAGUAGGGAAUAUUGGACAAUGGGGGAAACCCUGAUCCAGCAAUGCCGCGUGAGUGAAGAAGGCCUUCGGGUUGUAAAACUCUUUCAUCAAUGAUGAUAAUGACAUUAGUUGAAGAAGAAGCUCCGGCUAACUUCGUGCCAGCAGCCGCGGUAAUACGAAGGGGGCUAGCGUUGUUCGGAAUCACUGGGCGUAAAGCGUAUGUAGGCGGAUCAAAAAGUUAGAUGUGAAAUCCCUGGGCUCAACCCAGGAACUGCAUUUAAAACUAGUGAUCUAGAAUUUGGUAAGGGUUAGUAGAAUUUCCAGUGUAGAGGUGAAAUUCGUAGAUAUUGGAAAGAAUACCAGAAGCGAAGGCGACUAACUAGGCCAUUUUUGACGCUGAGAUACGAAAGCGUGGGUAGCAAACAGGAUUAGAUACCCUGGUAGUCCACGCAGUAAACGAUGAGUGCUAGUCGCUGGUGCAAUAGUAUCAGUGUCGAAGCUAACGCAUUAAGCACUCCGCCUGG
rnacentral:rRNA from 1 species